rnacentral:rRNA from 1 species
UACGUAGGGAGCAAGCGUUGUCCGGAUUUAUUGGGCGUAAAGAGCGUGUAGGCGGCUUUGCAGGUCCGCUGUGAAAACUCGAGGCUCAACCUCGAGCUGUCGGUGGAAACCGUAAAGCUAGAGUCCGGAAGAGGAGAGUGGAAUUCCCGGUGUAGCGGUGAAAUGCGCAGAUAUCGGGAAGAACACCCGUGGCGAAGGCGGCUCUCUGGGACGGUACUGACGCUGAGACGCGAAAGCGUGGGGAGCGAACAGG